CCGCCCCGCCGACGAGGAAGUGGCAGCCGCCUGGCCGAGCGCUAAUUGGCUCCCGGGCUGGCAGCUUCGGCGCGCACGGCGGCGCGCGCGGCGGCGGAACCAGCGCGAGCCGGGGGAAGGCACCGCCGCGGGCUCGCGCCGGGGCUAACCCAGCCGCGCGCGCUCGCGACAAGCAGGGGCCGGACCCGGCAGGGGCGCGCGCGGAGGCGCUCUCGCCGCAGUCCCGCCCCGCCCCACGGGGGCAGGAGCCAAGCCGCGCGCCCGGCCCGCGUGGGACAGAGGCCUGGGUUGACGACCUCUUCCGGAUCGCCUGUGACCGGGCAGGGGCGAGGAGGAAGAGUGCGGGCGUCUCGGGUGCGGUGGUGUGUGACAGGCGCACGCCGGGCCCUCGCCUCUGCCUGUAAGACUUGGAAUUGGCCCCCGGAAGACGUGAUUUUCAAAGCUAAUUAUGAAAACAUUUGUCAUUGGAAUCAGUGGUGUGACAAAUGGUGGGAAGACAACAUUGGCUAUGAAUUUGCAGAAACACCUCCAAAACUGCAGUGUCAUAUCUCAGGAUGAUUUCUUUAAGCCAGAGUCUGAGAUAGAGAUAGAUAAAAAUGGAUUUCUGCAGUAUGAUGUGCUUGAGGCGCUCGACAUGGAAAAAAUGAUGUCCGCCAUUUCUUGCUGGAUGGAAAGUCCGAGACACUCUCUGGUAGAAGAUGGGGGAAGCACUGAGGAAAUUUCCAUAUUAAUCAUCGAAGGUUUCCUUCUCUUUAAUUAUAAGCCACUUGACAGUCUAUGGCGUAGAAGCUACUUUCUGACCAUUCCAUAUGAAGAAUGUAAGAGGAGGAGGAGUACGAGGGUCUAUGAGCCUCCAGAUGUCCCAGGGUACUUCGAUGGCCAUGUGUGGCCCAUGUACCUAAAGCACAGACAAGAAGUAGAGGACAUCCCGUGGGAAAUUGUUUACCUAGAUGGAACAAAAUCUGAAGAGGACCUCUUUUCACAAGUGUAUGAAGAUCUGUUACAAGAACUAGCAAAGCAAAAGUGUUUGCAAGUAACAGCAUAAUGAUGGAGGGCACUGAAUCUUUCCUGGAGUGAAUUAGAAAACUUGAAAGAAUAUAUUCAAGAACCUUCACCAAGAUACAUAAUGUACUUUGGCUUGUAAUGGACUGCUCACCAGUGAGGGGAAAACCCACUCCUAGGGUACCGCCUGCAAUUACAGGGUCCUCUGUCUUCUGGGGAGUCCCAGGCUGCCAGAAGAUGACAAUUAAGUCAAGGAUGUAGCAUGUGGAGAAAGCAACAGCAAUGGUUGGUCAUGCUGAUAAGUAAAGCAGCCGUGUGGAAAGCAUGUGGAACUGUAAGUAAGAAAACCUGGGUUCUUGUCCCAGAUCUGAUGCUUGACCAUGGGUAUGUCAUUCUCUGAGCCCAAAGAAGCUAAGCAUUCCUCAAAAUUGAAAUAAUUAAUAUGGACCUCAGGUAUUUGGUUAAAAGGUUUAAUGAAUAUAAAGCAUCUAGUCAAAUGCCUGGCACCUGGUGGAUGUUCACUGUUAUUAACUCCAACUUUCAGUCCCAACCCUUUUGACUCCAUCCUAUAAAAUCUGACACUGAAAAUUAAGUUAAAGAUGUUAAAGGGUUAUGAAGACAGAUCCAAGCCUAUCACCACAGCUUGAGUUGAGUCCCGCAUAACCCUUGGGGUUUUUCAAAUUAUUAUUUAUUUUUUCCCUUUCAUGCCUUCCUUUGAUACUCAUUUUAAUCAUUUUUACCCUUUAAAAAAAUAUGAAUGGGUUUAGUGGAACGUGUGGUAUAUUUGCUCUGGGACCUAAACCUCUGUAUAAGGAUGGUCCUCAGCCUCUGCAACAACAGGUCAUCUAACCUGUGAGUACCACCCCCACCUCCUACUCAAAGACACAUAGCUGAUCUCAGCCAUAAACUUGUCAGGCUGCUUCUGGGGAAAACCAGCCAACAUAUGGUGAGGAUAUUCAAGCAGCACUGUGCAAAAAUCCAUGUGGCAAAAUAGUAGAGACAUCGAUCAAUAGCCAGCACCACUUGCCAGCCAUGUAACUGAGUCACCUUGGAAAGUGAAUUCUCCAACCCCAGGCAAACUUUUAGAUGACAGGAGCGCAGCUGACACCUGGACUUCAAUUUCAUGAGAUCCUGAGGCAGAACCUGCAGUAAGCCACUCCCAAGAGAAAGAGAGAAAGAAUGAAUAAAGGAAUGUAUGCCUGGCAGGUACCAUGGGAUGAGAUGUAAAUUUACAAGAUAUCCUAUUGGCCCCUCCACAAAUACACAUAUAGUAUGAGCAUGCCACAGUGCUAAAUGUGGGUUGACUCUUUAGAAAAUAAAAUCUCUAAAUGCAAGCCAGUUAUUUCAUCUGGUGCUCAGCAGAAGAAACAGAGAUCUGUUCCAACACUAGAGGAAAAACUGAUUGUGCUGACUUAUUAAAUGUGGCAGAGAAUGCUUCCCAAUUUCCAUCUGCCCCUUCUUCUAUAGCAAUAAAAAAUCUUGAUUUUCCAGUUGGAACAUUAUCACCUGGCUAAAAGAAACUUAAGAGUUUCUCUAGUUAUUUGAAAAAGAGUAUAAUGUGGUAAUGAUAACCAGAGCUUUGGUGUCUGUCAUAUAGAACAGAAUUAAAUAUAGCUGUGUGACCUCAAGCAAAUUAUUAUCUAUCAUGAGGCCUAGUUACCUUGUCUAUAAAACAUAAUGAUGAACUUACACUUUAUAAAGUUGCUGUAAAGAUUAAAUUUUUAACCCACGCAAAUGCCUUAAAUUUAGCAUAGUAAUCUGGCACAGGAUAUGUGCUCAUUAAAUGGUAGCUAUUGUUUAAAAACAUAAAGAAAAAAUCUAAAAUGUGAGGCAUUGGAAGUUUCUUGAUAAGACUCAAGUACAGCUCUUAAAUUAACUGCUUGCUCUAUUAAGCCAUUAUUCAGUAAUUUUGAAAUUGUAAGCUGGUACUCAGCUUUCUUUUACUACUCUAGACUUCUCUCCUUUGGGAAUUCUCACGUUCUCCAUAUUUCACACUUUGAAUCAUUAAAUCUCUCCAGUUUCCUAAAAUGAAGGAGAAUUCAUCUUUGAUCUAGUGAUCAGAGGAGGGAACCUGGAAAGGGAAGAUGAAUCUCUGCCUGAACACAGAUGUCAAUCCUCUCUCCAAAUGAGAGGCAACUUUACAUGACACACUUGUCACCUUUCCUCUUCCCUCUUCUUUUCCUUCUGCCUAUAUAUAAUUGGUACCCCUGUCAAAUAGUCUUAAUUACAUUUCCUUUGGAGAAAAACACAUUUCAGCUGUCUUGGAAAACCAGUUUAAAAGUUGCCUUAAAAAAAUACUAAUAUCUACUGUCUAAAAAUAGGUAGUUACAAGGGCAUGCCAGAGUUUAUCUGGACUGGAGAGGUUGGGUGGAGAUCUCUUCUGCUGCAGCCUGGUCAAGAGAGAGAUGGGAUGACUGCAUGUAAGAAAUAAAUGGGUUUCUUAAACUUUAUUUUUCCCUUUGAGUGAUUUUGGUUUCGAAGUUAUUUUGCCUCAGGAUUUUUCCACCUGGAGUUACACCUACACUCAUCCAACCUGGUUGAGAAUUCUUUCUCUGUCAGAGCCAAGAAUCCUUCCCUGUUCAGGUUGAGGUUUCACCUAAUGCGCAGGGAGAGACCACCCAGAGAGCUGCCCCACAACAGCCUUAUCUGAUUAGAACAUUUGGAAAGAAUAAACUGGGCAUGCUCAAUUCAGCUCUCGAUCUCAUUUUUUUUCCUCUUGAGCAAGCACAAUUUCUUCUGUUAGUCAUGCCAUAAAGUCCUUCCCAGUUGGAAAUGUUGCCCUGGCCAUCGCUGCCUAUGACUAUAUGAGUAAGUGUAAUUAAUUCUGGAUGAAGUUAGGAGGCCCAUCUGACUCUCAUUUUAAGGUACAUUCUUCAAUAUGGGCUUCUCAGUAAUAGAGGGGAUAUUUUGUCCAUCAUAUCUCCCUCUCCUUUGUCUUAUUGAUCAAUUUGUUCUAAACUGAGGUAGGAAAUUGGUUAGUGUAUUAAUUAUAUUUUCUAAAUGUCUGUAUUCUUGAUGCUCUGACAUAUGGGGCCUCACUUACUGGGCAGAGACUGCCCCUCUCAGGGCUAGCUAAUUCCUAGAGAAAGCAAACAAUCCCCUGAUCUUUCAUAUGCAAACUGACCAAUCUAGAACCCCCACCCACCCCAACUUCUUCCUUACUCAAACUCUCACACACCAAGCCAAUAUUUCCCUGCCCUAAUCAACCCAGGGCAAAGUAACAGACAAUUUGGGACAGCCCAGAGCCCACUGAAAUUAUUCCAAUUUGCCAAUCGUAAGCCUGCUAACCCUGCCUUACCUUGCCUUUCUGUGAAAACCAGGAUAAAGGCUUGUGUUUAUGCUUUCCCUUUGCUCUCUCUGCUUCUUUCUCUCCUGUGCUUCCCUGUGUGGCCCUGCAGGGUGUGGCAUGCCCCCUCCUCUUGGGGACUAAGAGUAACACACGCUCUCUUCAGUGUCUGUCAUCUCCUGAUCUCUUGGCCUCACCAUACCUGAAUAAUAACAAAACGUACAUUUUAAAACAGGGGGAGUUAUUACUGGUUCCUUCCAAAGGUUAGAAGAGGUCUCUUCAGAAGGUGAUGCAAAGCAUGACUUUAAAACACAGUCACUGAUACCAUUUCCCCUUCUUUCCUGCCAUACUUGUUUUUAAAUUAGGGAGAUGGGAACAGAAUUUCCCAAAGAGCUGGGCCCUGGUUAGCAAUAAUUUGCCCAGUUUUCAUUUAUUCUUGAGAUUCUAACCAUUGACUUCCAAAAGAAAAGUAACAUAGCCAAGAAUUUAUUAGUCAAUCUGUUAGGUAGACAGAUAGACAUGAGCAGCCAGAGAAGGGGAAUAUAAGGUUCAAGGAAAAAACCAUCCAGUUGUAAGAGUCCCACUUGAAGACAACAAAGGCUUUGUAGGGAGAUAACUUCCUUGCCUAUCAGGAACAAGCUAAAUUGGUUCCAACCAGAUCACAAUGCAGGCACAAUCAAACAAAGCUAAGAACCACCCAAACCACACCUCCUCAUAAUCUCAUUAAAAUAAAACUGCAAUUUGCUCCUCCCCACUCCCCAUGGCCUUUUCUGUGUGCAUUUUGGGAAAAGAAAUACAUAUUAUUCAAAGAAAGGGAAGUGCAGGCAACCUCAGAAAGGAGGCAUGCUUAAAGCUGAGGAUUCAUGUCUUUUACGGAUUUCAAGAAUGGGUUAAAGGGCCAGGGGGAAGCAUAGGCUUGACAUGUGGUCUCAUGAUGUCUAUCUCUGGUGAGAGACAUGUCACCAUCCAUAGUCAGUCCUCUAGAUACUCUG